AUUGAACGCUGGCGGCAUGCCUUACACAUGCAAGUCGAACGGUAACAGGUCUUCGGAUGCUGACGAGUGGCGAACGGGUGAGUAAUACAUCGGAACGUGCCUAGUUGUGGGGGAUAACUACUCGAAAGAGUGGCUAAUACCGCAUGAGAUCUACGGAUGAAAGCAGGGGAUCGCAAGACCUUGUGCUACUAGAGCGGCCGAUGGCAGAUUAGGUGGUUGGUGGGAAAAAAGCUUACCAAGCCGACGAUCUGUAGCUGGUCUGAGAGGACGAUCAGCCACACUGGGACUGAGACACGGCCCAGACUCCUACGGGAGGCAGCAGUGGGGAAUUUUGGACAAUGGGCGCAAGCCUGAUCCAGCAAUGCCGCGUGCAGGAUGAAGGCCUUCGGGUUGUAAACUGCUUUUGUACGGAACGAAAAGCCCUGGGUUAAUACCCCGGGGUCAUGACGGUGCCGUAAGAAUAAGCACCGGCUAACUACGUGCCAGCCGCCGCGGUAAUAC
rnacentral:rRNA from 1 species